rnacentral:rRNA from 1 species
AUUGAACGCUGGCGGCAGGCUUAACACAUGCAAGUCGAACGAUGAAACUCUAGCUUGCUAGAGAAGAUUAGUGGCGGACGGGUGAGUAACAUUUAGGAAUCUGCCUAGUAGUGGGGGAUAGCUCGGGGAAACUCGAAUUAAUACCGCAUACGACCUACGGGUGAAAGGGGGCGCAAGCUCUUGCUAUUAGAUGAGCCUAGAUCAGAUUAGCUAGUUGGUGGGGUAAAGGCCCACCAAGGCGACGAUCUGUAACUGGUCUGAGAGGAUGAUCAGUCACACCGGAACUGAGACACGGUCCGGACUCCUACGGGAGGCAGCAGUGGGGAAUAUUGGACAAUGGGGGCAACCCUGAUCCAGCCAUGCCGCGUGUGUGAAGAAGGCCUUUUGGUUGUAAAGCACUUUAAGCAGGGAGGAGAGGCUAAUGGUUAAUACCCAUUAGAUUAGACGUUACCUGCAGAAUAAGCACCGGCUAACUCUGUGCCAGCAGCCGCGGUAAUACAGAGGGUGCGAGCGUUAAUCGGAAUUACUGGGCGUAAAGCGAGUGUAGGUGGCUCAUUAAGUCACAUGUGUAAUCCCCGGGCUUAACCUGGGAACUGCAUGUGAUACUGGUGGUGCUAGAAUAUGUGAGAGGGAAGUAGAAUUCCAGGUGUAGCGGUGAAAUGCGUAGAGAUCUGGAGGAAUACCGAUGGCGAAGGCAGCUUCCUGGCAUAAUAUUGACACUGAGAUUCGAAAGCGUGGGUAGCAAACAGGAUUAGAUACCCUGGUAGUCCACGCCGUAAACGAUGUCUACUAGCCGUUGGGGUCCUUGAGACUUUAGUGGCGCAGUUAACGCGAUAAGUAGACCGCCUGGGGAGUACGGCCGCAAGGUUAAAACUCAAAUGAAUUGACGGGGGCCCGCACAAGCGGUGGAGCAUGUGGUUUAAUUCGAUGCAACGCGAAGAACCUUACCUGGUCUUGACAUAGUGAGAAUCCUGCAGAGAUGCGGGAGUGCCUUCGGGAAUUCACAUACAGGUGCUGCAUGGCUGUCGUCAGCUCGUGUCGUGAGAUGUUGGGUUAAGUCCCGCAACGAGCGCAACCCUUUUCCUUACUUGCCAGCGGGUUAAGCCGGGAACUUUAAGGAUACUGCCAGUGACAAACUGGAGGAAGGCGGGGACGACGUCAAGUCAUCAUGGCCCUUACGACCAGGGCUACACACGUGCUACAAUGGUAGGUACAGAGGGUUGCUACACAGCGAUGUGAUGCUAAUCUCAAAAAGCCUAUCGUAGUCCGGAUUGGAGUCUGCAACUCGACUCCAUGAAGUCGGAAUCGCUAGUAAUCGCAGAUCAGAAUGCUGCGGUGAAUACGUUCCCGGGCCU